UGGGCCGACGGAACAGGCCUGGUCUGCUAUGGGUGGCCUGCUGUUUGCUGAAAAUAGUCUGCUCUUUUUCUUUCUCUUUUUAUUUUUCUUCUUUCUUUCUUCUUUUUUCUUUCUCUUUUUUAUUUUUCUUCAGGCCGAACCCUAGCCUCUUUGCGCCGUUGACGACGUUUCCUCCGCCUGGUGCGACGGCCGAUGGUGGCGCGGUGGUGGCAGCAGAGGAGGGGGAGCAUGGCCGAUUGGGGGUGUCAGGAGUGGAAGGCGGUGCACGCAAGAACGCAGAUUGGGGGCGGUCUUGUCAUGCCCAGAAGGAUCGAAAUUUAGAAGACGCAAAAUAUUUGGGGUAAAAAUGUAAUUUUAGGAAAAUAAUUGGCCAAAAUGUAAUUUUUAGAAAGUUUAAGGGUCAAAGUGCAAUUUUGAGAAAGCUUAGGGGUUGAAAUGUAAUUUUAGAAAAGUUUAGGGUCGAAAUAUAAAUUUCAAAAAGUAUAGGGGUUAAAAUA